rnacentral:miRNA from 1 species
CCGGACCAGGCUUCAUUCCCC